GACGAACGCUGGCGGCGUGCUUAACACAUGCAAGUCGAACGGAAAGGCCCUGCUUUUGUGGGGUGCUCGAGUGGCGAACGGGUGAGUAACACGUGAGUAACCUGCCCUUGACUUUGGGAUAACUUCAGGAAACUGGGGCUAAUACCGGAUAGGAUCUCCUGCUGCAUGGUGGGGGUUGGAAAGUUUCGGCGGUUGGGGAUGGACUCGCGGCUUAUCAGCUUGUUGGUGGGGUAGUGGUUUACCAAGGGUUUGACGGGUAGCCGGCCUGAGAGGGUGAACGGCGUCAAGGGGACUAAGAGAGGGAGCAGACGGGUACGGGAGGCAACAGGGGGAAAUAUUGCACAAUGGGCGGAAGUCUGAUGCAGCAACGCCGCGUGCGGGAUGACGGCCUUCGGGGUGUAAACAGCUUUCGCCUGUGACGAAGCGUGAGUGACGGUAAUGGGUAAAGAAGCACCGGCUAACUACGUG
rnacentral:rRNA from 1 species